ACCGUGCGGGGGGCUCGACUCGAGUCACGAAGGCGACAUCCUUCGCGGCGUUCGCGCGCGGCCCCUCCGGCCACGGCCAGAGCCCGCGGGAAUUGCCGCCGCGGAGAUCUACGGUCUCCCCCUGCCUUUCUGGCUUCUUCCGGGUUUGACCCGUUGCGCAGCGCUAGCGGCGUCGGCUCACCCCACGCCGGGCUGCGUCAGCCAACCAGACGCAGACUCGUGUCAGGAUGACAGCUUCCCCUCUCCUCUUCUCCACGGGGCCUCGAUCUCCUUCCCUGUUUCCUUGGAGCAACCUGGCAUUUGCUCCCAAGGGAUUCCCCUGCUGUAGUAAUUUCAGGAGCCCGUGUUGGACUGCCUAGGUGUUCGAUGGUAUUCCCCUGAGAUGCGAAGAGGCCUGCCGCUCCGCUCUGCCUUCCGUUUGCAGUGCAAGUGGAACCGUGUCGUUUCACUAUGGUUGCUGCUGCCCCUUGGGUUCCAGAACCAAUUCUGGGACUGGGCAAUGGUUGUUGUGCUGUGUCCACUGCCCCUUUUAGUGGAGCAGUAUUCCAGAUGUUUUUUUUCCUUUCGGAAGACAGUAUUCCAGCUGUGAAUGUAACGGGCUUUUUGCCUUGUAUUUUGUCCAAAUGAAUUCAUGUUUUUCAUUUGGAACAUCGGUA